GGCUUUGUUGAAGUUUUCUUUUGGGAAACAGUGAAAUGUUAUGAAAAAACGAUAAAGAUUAAGAAGAAGAUGAUUUUUAUAUGAGUAUUUUUAUUAUACGAGUUGGCAUUUACUGAUAACUUUGUUCUGUUCAUGUGGCAUUAUGGUUGAAAUUCUUCUAGCACAAACCAAUAGAAUCACAAACUGUUAUUGGAUUUGGUAUUCUGAAUGGGAUUUCGAUUGGAUUAUUGAAACUCAGCUUGGGAUUCAAUUCUGUUGGUUUCUAUUAGGUUUCUCUUUGCUAUCUACUUAAAAUGUUCAACAUUGAACUGUUUCUCACUGAUGUUUUCGAAUUGAGGAUUUAUUAUUUUACUUUAGUAGAUGAAAAAGCUGGCAAUCAUCCCACGUACAGUACUGUUGGAAACUCUUUUCCUAAACAAGAAUUUCGGGUGAGUCACCACAC
rnacentral:lncRNA from 1 species